rnacentral:rRNA from 1 species
CAUUUAAAGAGUGCGUAAUAGCUCACUAGUCGAGUGACACUGCGCCGAAAAUGUACCGGGGCUAAACAUAUUACCGAAGCUGUGGAUUGUCCUUUGGACAAUGGUAGGAGAGCGUUCUAAGGGCGUUGAAGCAUGAUCGUAAGGACAUGUGGAGCGCUUAGAAGUGAGAAUGCCGGUGUGAGUAGCGAAAGACGGGUGAGAAUCCCGUCCACCGAUUGACUAAGGUUUCCAGAGGAAGGCUCGUCCGCUCUGGGUUAGUCGGGUCCUAAGCUGAGGCCGACAGGCGUAGGCGAUGGAUAACAGGUUGAUAUUCCUGUACCACCUAUAAUCGUUUUAAUCGAUGGGGGGACGCAGUAGGAUAGGCGAAGCGUGCGAUUGGAUUGCACGUCUAAGCAGUAAGGCUGAGUAUUAGGCAAAUCCGGUACUCGUUAAGGCUGAGCUGUGAUGGGGAGAAGACAUUGUGUCUUCGAGUCGUUGAUUUCACACUGCCGAGAAAAGCCUCUAGAUAGAAAAUAGGUGCCCGUACCGCAAACCGACACAGGUAGUCAAGAUGAGAAUUCUAAGGUGAGCGAGCGAACUCUCGUUAAGGAACUCGGCAAAAUGACCCCGUAACUUCGGGAGAAGGGGUGCUCUUUAGGGUUAACGCCCAGAAGAGCCGCAGUGAAUAGGCCCAAGCGACUGUUUAUCAAAAACACAGGUCUCUGCUAAACCGUAAGGUGAUGUAUAGGGGCUGACGCCUGCCCGGUGCUGGAAGGUUAAGAGGAGUGGUUAGCUUCUGCGAAGCUACGAAUCGAAGCCCCAGUAAACGGCGGCCGUAACUAUAACGGUCCUAAGGUAGCGAAAUUCCUUGUCGGGUAAGUUCCGACCCGCACGAAAGGCGUAACGAUUUGGGCACUGUCUCAACG